rnacentral:sRNA from 1 species
CCAUGAGGGGCUGAUUGAGGGUCAACCCUGACACACCGGAAAAAUAAAUCUCUGGCAUUUGCAUUGAACUCCAUUCUCAUGUCUCACUUAGGUGGUCUCCUGGCAGUUAAGACUCACUUCGAGCCUUACAUUUGGUGCAUUGGCUGGGAAGCCAGAUCCUCUCUCCACCCAUGAGGCCUUAAGGAAUGGUGAUCGGAGGAACAGCUUGAGCUUGAUGUCAGGUUGGGAGGUGCUGUACUGAAUUCUGUGAGUACUUUUCAAUACGAAGGCCUGCCAAUGCCUGGACUAAGUGAGGAGCCACCUUCCAGCGCUGAGCCUGAGGACCCCGUGGUUGCAUGCCGGGAUUAUUAGAAUAUACUAUAGCUGUCUUCAAGCACACCAG